rfam:Felis catus isolate Cinnamon breed Abyssinian chromosome A1, whole genome shotgun sequence.
GCCUGGGUGGCUCAGUGGUUGAGCAUCUGACUUCAGCUCAGGUCAUGAACACAUGGUUCAUGAGUUUGAGCCCCACAUCAGGCU